rnacentral:rRNA from 1 species
CGGACGGGUGAGUAACGCGUGAGAACCUGCCUUCUGGACGGGGACAACAGUGGGAAACUGCUGCUAAUACCCGAUGUGCCGCAAGGUGAAAAGAGAUUCGCCGGAAGAGGGGCUCGCGUCUGAUUAGCUAGUUGGAGAGGUAAAGGCUCACCAAGGCGACGAUCAGUAGCUGGUCUGAGAGGAUGAGCAGCCACACUGGGACUGAGACACGGCCCAGACUCCUACGGGAGGCAGCAGUGGGGAAUUUUCCGCAAUGGGCGAAAGCCUGACGGAGCAAUACCGCGUGAGGGAAGAAGGGUCUAUUGAUUGUAAACCUCUUU